CUCAUGAGAAGAGAAGACUCCCUGGAAAAGACCCUGAUGUUGGGAAUGAUGGAGGGCACAAGGAGAAGGGGACGACAGAGGACGAGAUGGUGGGACAGUGUUCUUGAAGCUACGAACAUGAGCCUGACCAAACUGCGGGAGACAGUGGAAGACAGAAGUGCCUGGUAUGCUCUGGUCCAGGGGGUCACGAAGAGGCGGACACGACAAACAUCAACAGCUUGAAGGGCUAGAAGGACAUUGAAGAAAUGAACUUCUGGCUACCACCCUUUAAAUUCUUCUCUAAAGGUAGGUGGGUUUAGAUCUGACCAGCAAAUGGAGGUUCACUUCCUGAAAAACCUAAUGUAUUCGGAGACCUUGGAAGGAGAAUGUAUAUGUUUUUGUGUGUGUUAUAUACACACACUUCUAACAACCAUGAAGGUCAGAUCCCAUGAGAAGCCUUUCUUUACAAUAGUAAUGAGUGAACACAUCUCUGUUUGUACAUUUAGAUAUUCUUAUGAAUAAUUAUUAUCAUCCCCAUAUCCUUGCCAUAUCUUUACACAGGCUCUGAUCUUCAGAGCACUCUUAGCCUUUGGCCUUUGUACAAUGUCAGAAACGCAUCUGACACUUUAUAAAUUGAUAAUAUUUCUACCAGCCCUGAGAUUCUGCACUACACCGAGUUGAAUAAUGUAAUACAUUAUUAAUCCAGAAGCCUACUCUGCAAAUAUGGCUUGCAGCAAGCACCCAGGUAGCACAUACUCAGAGCUUUGGAUACAUUUCUGUGUUUCUUGAGCACAUGAAAUUAACCAACAUGAUCUCACCACAAAAGUGCUUUCAUAAUUAGAGAAAUUUUGCUGGCACAGGCAUAAAGAGAAUGUUUCCCCAGUACGUGGUAUGGCUAAGCCUCAAUCCUUUUACUAGACUGAGGUGGCAAUCCUAAUCACAAUUACUGGAAAGUAAUUCCAAUUGAACUUAGUGGAAUUUACUACAAAGUAAGGAGGCAGUGAGAGAUUUGACUUUCUUGGGCUCCAUGAUCACUGCAGAUGGUGACAGCAGCCACAAAAUUAAAAGAUGCCUGCUCCUUGGGAGAAAGGCGAUGGCAAACCUAGACAGCAUCUUAAAAAGCAGAGAUAUCACCUUGCCAACAAAGGUCCGUAUAGUUAAAGCCAUGGUUUUCCCAGUAGUGAUGUAUGGAAGUGAGAGCUGGACCAUAAAGAAGGCUGAUCGCCGAAGAAUGGAUGCUUUUGAAUUCUGGUGCUGGAGGAGACUCUUGAGAGUCCCAUGGACUGCAAGAAGAUCAAACCUCUCCAUUCUGAAGGAAAUCAGUCCUGAGUGCUCACUGGAAGGACAGAUCCUGAAGCUGAGGCUCCAAGACUUUGGCCACCUCAUGAGAAGAGAAGACUCCCUGGAAAAGACCCUGAUGUUGGGAAAGAUGGAGGGCAAAAGGAGAAGAGGACGACAGAGGACGAGAUGGUUGGACAAUGUUCUCGAAGCUACCAGCAUGAGUUUGACCAAACUAUGGGAGGCAGUGGAAGACAGGAGUGCCUGGCGUGCUCUGGUCCAGGGGGUCACGAAGAGGCGGACACGACUAAACGACUAAACAACAACAACAACAACUAGCUGACAUCCCAGCAUGCUCCUUAAAAUUGCUUGCAGAAUGCUAACAUCAUCCUGCUUAAUAAGACCCAAAACCAGUUAUUUUUAAGUGAGGGAGAAAGAAAGCUCCAACAAUAUAACCAACAACAAAACAUGCCAGGGGUAGACUGUGAGGCCAAACUACAUGUGAUCUUAGCCACUUGUUUAAAUAAGCAUGAAGCAGCUCUUUUUAAUAAAGGGGCGGGGAAGAAACAAUGUGGGUAUUAACGCUGAAUGUACUCUCAACUUGGAUUAAAGCUCUGCAGAAAAAUCACCUCCUACAUGGCUUUUGCUUGCUUCCCAAAGGGCUGUGUCCUGUAAACAAUAUUUUGGGGGUUUUUUAAUAAAAAAAGCAGACAGGAGGAAACCUCCCUCCUUUGAGUCCUAGUCCUGUGUGGGAGAGAAGUGUCAUUGCGCAGGACGGGCACAAUGUGAUAAACAGGAAUGGUUUUGACUGUGGUUGUCUGCCAUUUGUCUGAAUGUGCUCAGACACAGUCCCUGAACCUAAAACACUUGCCCAUCAUCAACAACUAGCCAUAUAACAGAGACAGGAGCCCAGGGAUAAGACACUCCAGCAAAGCCAGAUGCAAAUUUGGACCCCGUGUCUAUUCUGGGAGGAAUCAAUUUUACAUGGCAGGACCUAUUACAUGUCCUGAUGUCAUCCACUACACCGGGGGCUCAUUCACCUGCUUAUAGUCCAAUGUGAUAUAUAUGCCAUCAUCUGCUAGCUAUCCACUUUUGCAUGCAAAAUAAUAAAAGGACGCAAAUCUGCUAUCAGAAACCACGAUAUCCAGCUUCCCAGGACACACUGCAAUGAACCCUAUGGUGUGUGUAUGUGUUUUUAAUCACACUAUGUAAGUUCAUUGGUUUACCAGUGCCAAAGAUGUUUGCAUUAUCAACAGUUGUUUUGUGUUAACCAUAAACGAUUUCUGUAUUUAUUUUGUUUCAGACUUCAAUGCUUACAACCAACCACCACAACAAUUCUAUGUAUAUAUUUCUGUACCUCAUCUUAACCCUACAAGAACCUGAUGAACUGGACCCUAGUCCAUGAAAGCUUAUGCAGUAAGACUCUGAGAAAGUAUAGCAACACAGCCAUUCAUAUGAGUCAGGAUGGAACCCAGAUAUGGC